GGGGAAUUUUCCGCAAUGGGCGAAAGCCUGACGGAGCAAGACCGCGUGGGGGAUGAAGGUUUGUGGAUUGUAAACCCCUUUUGAUUGGGAAGAAUACUGACGGUACCAAUCGAAUAAGCCUCGGCUAACUCCGUGCCAGCAGCCGCGGUAAUACGGAGGAGGCAAGCGUUAUCCGGAAUUAUUGGGCGUAAAGCGUCCGUAGGUGGUUUAGUAAGUCUGCUGUUAAAGCGCGGGGCUUAACUCCGUAUCGGCAGUGGAAACUACUAGACUAGAGUGUGGUAGGGGUAGAGGGAAUUCCCAGUGUAGCGGUGAAAUGCGUAGAUAUUGGGAAGAACACCGGUGGCGAAAGCGCUCUACUGGGCCAUAACUGACACUGGUGGACGAAAGCUAGGGGAGCGAAAGGGAUUAGAUACCCCUGUAGUC
rnacentral:rRNA from 1 species